rnacentral:rRNA from 1 species
CCUACGGGAGGCUGCAGUCGAGGAUCUUUCGCAAUGGGCGCAAGCCUGACGGAGCGACGCUGUGUGAGUGAUGAAGGCUUUCGAGUCGUAAAACUCUUUUGUCUGGGAACAAGAAAGAUUCGUGAAUAACGGGUCGAUUUGAGCGUACCAGAAGAAAAAGCACCGGCUAACUACGUGCCAGCAGCUGCGGUAAUACGUAGGGUGCAAGCAUUAAUCGGAAUUAUUGGGCGUAAAGGGCGCGUAGGCGGAUUGAUAAGUCAGAUGUGAAAUACCAA